UGAAGCAACGACUCCAUCGACGACAACUUCGCUCACUGGCAAUGGACCACGAUGUGAUCAACGCCGCCGACAAUGGCGGCGUCCCCUCGCCGAGGCCUUUCCAUAAGGCAAAGACGGAACUAGCGGCUUCAAAGCUGUUCAUGCGAGAGGUGAUCUUUGUCUUCCUCUUUUUGAUUUCGGUAUGGUUGUUCUGGAUGUUGUUCUCCUCGUCAAACGCACCUGUCGUUUCCGGCCUCAUCUCGAGCAAUGGAUCUUUUGAUGGCCUCCCCAACAACACCUCACUGCCGGAGAUAAGGUUCGUGCACCGGAGACUUGAGAUCUAUCUCCUCCCACGAUUGAAGAACUACUCCAACGCUUCAGGAGAGUUAUCAACUGAGAAGCAACAUGAGUUUGAAUUUGACAUGGAGGGAUUAUUUGCAUAAAUAUGACUACAAAUGGGUAAAAGUGAAAAAUUAGCUGCAUCAUGGAUUUGGUUGAGAUUCUAGCUUGUAUUUUACCAAAUAAUUCUCGUUCAUCUUUUCACUUCUGGCUGAAACACAAAUACCAUCUGCCCUCUGGAGUUGUAGGCCGCUUGUUUCACAUUGUUACGCAUUACGAAUUCUAAUGGUGGCCUGAAUCAACAAAUGAACGUUGGUAAUAGCAUUUCAGCUGAAUUUUUCAUCCCAGUGCACUCUUUGUAAUGAUCUUGACAAAUUAGUCCAAACUCUAGUGUUAAUAUGCCAUUAUCUUUAACUGAUUGCAUAUGCAUUGCAAUGGAUAUG